UCGGGAAUUUUGGGCAAUGGGCGAAAGCCUGACCCAGCAACGCCGCGUGAGGGAUGAAGUAUUUCGGUAUGUAAACCUCGAAAGAAUGGGAAGAAUAAAUGACGGUACCAUUUAUAAGCUCCGGCUAACUACGUGCCAGCAGCCGCGUUAAUACGUAGGGAGCUAGCGUUGUUCGGAUUUACUGGGCGUAAAGGGCGCGUAGGCGGCGCUGUAAGUCACUUGUGAAAUCUCUGAGCUUAACUCAGAACGGCCAAGUGAUACUGCUGUGCUAGAGUGCGGAAGAGGCAACCGGAAUUCUUGGUGUAGCGGUGAAAUGCGUAGAUAUCAAGAGGAACACCUGAGGCGAAGGCGGGUUGCUGGGCCGACACUGACGCUGAUGCGCGAAAGCCAGGGGAGCAAACG
rnacentral:rRNA from 1 species